AGCUGAACACCACACAGACUGAAUUUAAUUGCAUGAUUAUGUCAGGAGACCCCCAGUCUUGGAUAGGUGCCUUUAUUAAAUAAUAUGGAAAUAAUUCUUGGCUUCAAGAGAAGGGUUUUGCAUUCACAGAGCCAGAGCGAGCCUGGUAUGGGAAGGGCACUCAUCCCACACACUAUGUUGAGAUGGAAACCCAUGGUCCAGAAGCUCGGCAAGCCGUGUUGGUGCUGCGGUCCUGGGACAUGUGCCACCUCCAUUCUCCUGGAAGGAGACCAUGUGUAGUCCCAUGGUGCCAGCCCUGCUGCCUCAGAGACCCUCUGCCUUGGGUCUCUGCCAAAAUCCAAAGUGUUAUAAUGGCCAAAGGCACACAGGUUAGACGGGCAAUUUCCAUGUUGUGGGUGUCCACAGCAGCACCCGCACAUGCAUGUGUUCAUCCUUACUGCCCACAGAACUGUGGGACAAAGCCAGGUUUUUCCAGGGGUAUCUGCCUCUUUUUGGUCUGACUUUAUGGUGCUCCACUGCAUGAGCCCCAAAGUAGGUCGUACAGAUAUUAUAAAUGCUGCCCAAAGUCUUGGUAGACAUGGCCUCUUCUGCCAUCUCUUUGUGUUUCUCAUCUUGACCUGGAAGCAGCAGAGCUGAAGCUCAUGCUGGACUUGGAGGCCAGAGUGUACAGUGGGGAAGCGGAGCCCAACCCAACUGUUUAAAAACGACUAUAUGCCUGUCUGCCUCCAGGUACAGUGGUGCUUCUCUAACCAGAAUGGAGGAGCACUGUGGGGCUAUGUGAUGGGAAAGUUGAGUCACAGUCUUGGAACAGAAAUUACAGCUUUUAACAUCUGGGAUCUGACUAUAGGAUUAUUUUCUGUCUUUAAUUGUUUACCUCCUGUAUCAUCACAAGCUGCUUUUUCAGGCCAAUUACUUUAAUUGCCAUGACAAAACAAGUCAAAUCCAGGUUUGCGACAAAAUUGGUCUUUCUUUCCCCAAAUAAACCCUUGAAUGAUAUUAAUCUGCUGUUGGUCACCAAGCCCUACUACUUUAAACUGCCUCCUCCCUUAUUGCCAAUACUAACAAAUUAACACUAAUAGUUACAAACAUUAAUUAGUAACAGCAUUCAGAUGCACAUGAAGCCCAGACAAAACUCCCACCGUGGGCCAUGCGCUGUGAUGAACAUGGCCUCGGAUCCCCUGUGUCUGCAGAGGGCUGAGCCGGGGCUGCAUCAGGCGCUGGUUCAACACAGGACCACGGAGCUGCAGAGAUGCUGAGUCAAAGCCGGUCUCCUUGCAGCCCACGAGGAUGCCCCAGUGCAGAUCUCCCGUGCCUGGCAUCCUGAUGGUGUGAGAGCUCCUGUGGCUCAAGGAGUUUUUUGCACUGAAGUAUCCGCCACAAAGUAUUAUGCAGCUAUCAUGUGGUGUGCAUGCCGCUUUUUCCUCAUGCCUUAACUGGUCAAUACACCAGCUGAGCUGUGGCAUCUGCAUCUGUCCACAUGCACAAUGAUGUGUCUUAUAAACCUCCUUGCUAUGGAUGAAAAAAAGAUAAAUUUCUUCUGCUUCUGUUGCACAGUAGUCAGAAAUGGGGACAGCCAUGCUGGCAGGUGAAGUGAAGGAAUUGGAUAAAUACGCACAAUGCACGGCCCUAUUAACCUUGUGAAUUUUCUGUUGUAAAUUCGAUCUUUCUUCUCCCAUCCCACUCUUCUCUGUGGAUUGCUGCUGUCCCUCCUGACGCACCUCUUGUUCUGAAUCGUGAGAUGUCAUACCUCGUUGUUAGAUGUGCAGGUCACCUUGUAAGCGCUCCGAGACAAUUAAUCAUCCCAGCCCCAAGAUUGAUGGAAAGUUCUCAGUCCUUCGAUUUUCCAGUUACAUUUGGCUGAGUGAUGUUUUGCAGAGACAGGGGAGAGAAGAAUUUCUAAUUCAUUUGCAGAUAUUUGGUUAUUUUAAAAGGCAUUGUUGUGAAGCAUCUUGCAAUACAUGAAGUCACAUUGGCUAAAUAUCCUGAAGGAAAGCCCAGGCAGCACAGCUGCUCGGUCCAAGCAGCCAUGGGCUGAGCUGGCUCAGCUCUCACGUAAACCAGGCACCAGCAGAAGGGAUCAGUUCCUGCCUGGUACUGAAGCUGUUGGGUAGGAAAAUCUGGUCAUGCCAUGGUGCUAUUUGGAGCAGGGUAUGUAAGGUGUAUACCCCAUACAUGGCUGUGCGCUGCUGCAGGGGUCAUUCGUGGCAUCCCUUAUACCUGCAGGCACUACCACAAUGGGGUCCACCAUAAAACACAAAAGGUUCACUUAAAUUAUGAUGCUUAAUGUUGCCGCGAUAACAGGAUACUAUGCAUUACAAUACUGGCUUCAUUUCCUUCUCCAAAUUUGGUCCCUUCUGGUGUCUGAGCAAGGUUGUACGCGUCUGAAUCACUGCAUCGCCAGGUGUGGUGUACAGGCACAGGACUCCCCUCGAACAUCCCGUCUCUCCUGGAGCCCGUGGCUGUCAGUAUGGUUGCCAUGGUGGUAGCGAGACAAUUAAAAUGGCUUUAUAACCAGCUGAAGGUGCUGACUGUUUCCUGGAUACCAUACAUCCCAAUCAAUCUCAGCCCUGACAGACCUUGGAGCAAAGCCAGGUCCAAUGACAGCAAUUGGUGGCGUUUAAUACUUUUUUUUUUUUUCCCUUCUUCAGCCCUCUAAAGUUAGCUUUCCUGCAUGGGUUUGAAGUUGCAGUUCAAGGCUCUUCACUCUCUCUUUGGGUUUAGCUGAUCCAUCUGCAGCCAGCCUCCACCUGGCAGGAGGGACAAAGCACGAAGGCAGAUGCUCCUGCCAGCAGCUUCAACAGCAGAUUUGGAGUGGGCUAAGCCUCCAGGUCACACAGUCAUCAAAAGUCACAAGUUUUUCCUAUGCCAGAAGCCAACUUCCUAACAAGAUUAAUUGAUAAAAAGGAGGAUUUCUGUAAGAACAAAUGUUUUGAAUCGAAGUUAUUUUCCAAGCCUUUGGUUGAAUAAUUCAUCUGACACAUAACUGAAUAAUUUUUCUUCAUAGAUUAUCUGAGAAGAGAUCACAAUAUUUACAUAUGGACCUAUUGUUCAGACUUAUUGGCUAAAUAAUUUAUUGGAAUAAUCUGUGCUCUGUGUCUCAUUUGUGGCCAGUUCCUUGGGAGAUGUUGAUAUUCUGAUGAUGUGAUAUGUUUCUCUUCCCAAGUGGCUGAAUGUAACUUUCUGGGAUUAUUUUGUGAAGUAAGUGGUUGUUAUUAUGAGUUUGAAAUGUGUUUUCACGCUACAUUCACACUUGUGAGUAUUCCUACCAGAAAAUGUGUUCCCUAGGAUAACUGUAGAAAGCAAACACAAGAAAGGAAGGAAUAUAGUCAAAGCAAAUCCAUAAAAAGAUUCAGAUGAACACAAAUGUGUUUGUAGGACACACUUAUCUCCGUUGUGAAGCAACGCGAUAAAGGAGACCUCAGAUUUAUAAGGGAGAAAUCUCUGUAUGCCAACCAGCUCCAUAUCCCACAUGAACAACUUGGAAGACCAUCAGCUGCUAGACCUGUUACCAAACAAAUAUGACCCAUAGCUGUUUGUGUGCUUUUGGGGAUAUAGGACACAUAGCAAUAUGUCAAGCAAGGCAAAAUGUCAAGUUACAUAUCAAAUGAAGAUCAGUGAGAAAAGAAGAGAAGGGUGUAUGUCCGUGGAAUGGCAAUGAUCUCAGGAUGAACAAAAUAGAGUAUUUUCUAUGUCUCUGAACUAACACAACAGCCUGUAUUAAUGGUCACUACCUGACACUUUGAAAACAAGAGAAUAAUCUCCAUCAUGGUCUAGAGAUCAGCUUUCACCCUGAAUUUGGAGAUCAGAUCCUCUUAUCUUUGCAAGUGCUACUGGGAGACAUGCUUGGAAACAAGGAAAGAAUUUAACCUAACAAUAGCCUAUUCAUCCUGGUGCUUCAUCGGGCAAAAAGCAAGCAUUUAUCUGGAACAUGAAUUCUCUGCAGACCUUUACUUCAAGCCAUGUUUGCCAUAAAGUCAGUAUGUAUACUGAAAUAGCCAGAGAGAGACUCUGCUCCCAGAAAGCCAACUGAACUCUGUGUUUCUUCCCACUAUAAAAAAGUAGAUUCAAGUGGAAAACCUACCACAAUAUAGUCUUAUAACUCAAUGGUGAAAAACACCUCUUCCAGAUUUAAUCCCAGCUGCUGAUUGGGAAGACAGGUUGCAGUUUUCUCUCUCUCUCUCUCUAGUAUUCACAUCUUUCUCUGAAUUUCAAAGCAUGUCUUUGGACCAACUAGAUCAAACACUGACUUUUUUAGAGCUUUGGCUAUAUCUUUACAGGUAUAUUUCUCUGUGUAUACUUAUAUAUCUAUAUAUUGUCUGCACUAUAUCAAACUUCUUUGUCCUCCCCCCUUGUAACACUAUCAUAAUACUCUAAGGUGCUCCUUCUGCCAGUCCUUGUGCACACACUGUUCAGUACUUUGGGAGUUGUCCUGAGGUCCAGUGGUCCCUUGCUCUGUUCCGUGCUCUACAGACUUAAUGGCAGUCCAUCGUGGGGUGCCUAUCAAACCACAGAAAUACUGGUCUGGAGGGGUACGUGUAUUAAAUUGCCAAACUCCCAUGAUUCACAUCCUUUCCUGACAUCCAUUAAUGUUCCUGGCACCAUUUUCAAAUUACUGUUGGGCAGCAGAUGGAGGACAUGCUGCUAAGUGCUAUGAUUAUGAGAUUCAUUAAUAUGGAUGGGAUUAGGCAUAUGCGUUUGUAGUUGGGCAAGCAGAAGAAUUUGCA